GUCUCAUCAUCAUCUGCCAAUGGCAAAAGAUUUUAAUUAUCCUGCAAUUGCAGCUGAGAUUGAACCAAUGAAACCAUUUAAGAUUAAUUUCACAAGAAUAGUUACAAAUGUUGGAUUUGCUAACUCUACCUAUAAGGCUUGCUUCCAACAACAUUCUGGCAUCAACAUCACUAUCGUGCCUAACAUACAUAAGUUUAAAUGUCUGAAGGAGAAACAAGCUUUUGUUGUUAAUGUUGUUGGAGGGAAAUUUAGUGAGUACAGUGUAGUUUCAUGGUCACUAUUGUGGAGCGAUGGAACACAUAGUGUGAGAUGUCCAAUUAUUGUACGUUUUCUAAAAGAUGGAGCAUGAUUAUCUUUUUCAUAAAGUUAAAUAAAAAAUGAAAAUUUGAACUAGCAUCUAACCUUUGUUUAUUGAUUUUCUUAUACUCUCAUCCUUGGAGACUUGAGUUUUGACCAUGCCUCGUGCUGCUGUUGCCUCAAUCAAAUGCAACUUAAUAUAACAAAAUUCAUUUAUGACAGAAGGAUAAAAGAGUCAAAAUGAAAGGAAAAGGGGUGAAAUGGUGUUUUAAGAGUGAAGAUGAGAGUGAUGACUGUACUGUUGU
rnacentral:lncRNA from 1 species